rnacentral:rRNA from 1 species
UACGGGGGGGGCAAGCGUUGUUCGGAAUUACUGGGCGUAAAGGGCUCGUAGGUGGCCAACUAAGUCAGACGUGAAAUCCCUCAGCUUAACUGGGGAACUGCGUCUGAUACUGGUUGGCUUGAGUGCAGGAGAGGAACGCGGAAUUCCAGGUGUAGCGGUGAAAUGCGCAGAUAUCAGGAGGAACACCGGUGGCGAAGGCGGGUCUCUGGGCCGUAACUGACGCUGAGGAGCGAAAGCAUGGGGAGCGAACAGG